GUGCGUAGACAAUAAAUGGGAGUUUUAGCCCCUAUCAUAUCUAAAAUUAUGCGUAAAGUGAUAUAACUUAUUAACCAUACAUAUUAGAGACCUAGGGUCUUUUGAUUUGAGAUGAUCAGUUAGUGACCUUGAAAUUGAGGUCAAGGUCAUAGGUUAAUUUGACGUUCUAGAUUAUGACCUUUGCUUAAAAUUCAUAUCUGAACAUCAGAAAGCC
rnacentral:lncRNA from 1 species